rnacentral:rRNA from 1 species
ACGCGCGGAACCUUACCAGGUCUUGACAUCCUUCGCUACUUCUAGAGAUAGUAGGUUCCCCUUCGGGGGACGAAGUGACAGGUGGUGCAUGGUUGUCGUCAGCUCGUGUCGUGAGAUGUUGGGUUAAGUCCCGCAACGAGCGCAACCCUUGAUCUUAGUUGCCAGCAUUCAGUUGGGCACUCUAAGGUGACUGCCGGUGACAAACCGGAGGAAGGUGGGGAUGACGUCAAAUCAUCAUGCCCCUUAUGACCUGGGCUACACACGUGCUACAAUGGAUGGUACAAAGGGCUGCAAGACCGCGAGGUUUAGCCAAUCCCAUAAAACCAUUCUCAGUUCGGAUUGCAGGCUGCAACUCGCCUGCAUGAAGCUGGAAUCGCUAGUAAUCGCGGAUCAGCAUGCCGCGGUGAAUACGUUCCCGGGCCUUGUACACACCGCCCGU